rnacentral:rRNA from 1 species
UACGUAGGGGGCUAGCGUUGUCCGGAAUUAUUGGGCGUAAAGAGCUCGUAGGCGGUGUGUCACGUCGGCCGUGAAAACCUGCAGCUUAACUGUGGGCGUGCGGUCGAUACGGGCAUCACUGGAGUUCGGCAGGGGAGACUGGAAUUCCUGGUGUAGCGGUGAAAUGCGCAGAUAUCAGGAGGAACACCGGUGGCGAAGGCGGGUCUCUGGGCCGAUACUGACGCUGAGGAGCGAAAGCGUGGGGAGCAAACAGG